rnacentral:lncRNA from 1 species
AGGAAAUGAGCAACCAGCUGAACUUAACAGGAUGCAGAGGAUUUAAUUAGAAGGGUGUGUGUGUGUGUGUGUGUGUGUGUGUUAAGAAGAAGUGUGCUAAACGACCUGUUUGACUGGGGCAAGAGGACUUAUUUUAGAAAUAGCAAGAAUUAAGAGUAAAACAAGAUUUUAUCAAGGCCAAGAAAAUGCUGACUUUGUAGGCAGUGUGCAGGUAUUAGAGCUGAGGAAUGGCAUGAUGAGAUCAGCUUUUGAGCAACAUUCAUCCAGCAGAGGCAUUUAGGAUAAAUUCAUGGUGAAAACCAGGAGACCUAGCCUACUCAUUCGUUCAGUCACUUAGCAAGCAUAUGUUGAACAUCCACAUUAUGUGAAAUGCCCUGUGCUAAGUAGGAAGAACGCACAGCUGUAAGCACCAACAGUCAGAAGAACUGUCACACCAAUUCUAGAACGCCAUCCCACCAAAUGAUGCGAAACUUCAUCUGAGUUGUCUUCCCUGGUCAGUGUAGAAAGAUAUUAAAGCCAUGUAUAUAACAGAGGUCAAAAUUGGCACCCGUUGGCCUGGAUUUAGCUCCCUGUUCUUGGAAUUUGUAUUUCUUUCUCUAGCUGCACUGGUUUGGGCUUCCAGGAUAAUGCAGAAUAGAAGGGGUGAUAAUGGGCUCCUUUCUUAUUCUUGGGUUUAAAAGGAAUGUUUGAUGUUAGCUGUAGCCGUUUUUCAGAUCCUAGUAGUAACGUGUUAUGGCAGCCAUUGGAAACUAAUACUGUUUUUGUUUAACACAUGAUACUGAAUCACAUCAAAUACAUUU